rnacentral:lncRNA from 1 species
GCUGAUUAAACAGGUAUUAGUUCGAUUGGGUGAUAAUUAAUACUUCAAAGACUAGCUCAUUGAAGCCAAUUUGAUCGUUGUUAAAAUCAGUGUUUGUUCAAAGUUCGUUAAACAAGUUUGUGAAUGUCGUUGGGAAAUGCGGUCAAUUUAUUUCUUCUCAUUUCAUUCAUAUAUGCCUCUAUAUAUUCAUUAAAUAGAUGUCAAUGUUGAAAUCUUUGUUUAUUUUGAUCUCUCAACGACGCCAUUUUGUGUAAAAUUUAUUAGACUGGUCCCGCGGAGUUACUUUAAUACAACGGAAAUAAUUCUUUCAAAAAUCGUUAACCAGUCAAUCACGUGAUCCGAAAAGAAAAAUAAGCGGGAAAUUUUAAAAAAUACGAAAAAAAAUAUAGCGACGCGGUUGAACGGGAUAGCGACGCGGUCAGUGCAAUAGGACAGCGGG